CCUUCGAUAGCUCAGCUGGUAGAGCGGAGGACUGUUAAUCCUUAGGUCGCUGGUUCGAUUUCCGGCUCGAAGGA